rnacentral:rRNA from 1 species
CCUACGGGUGGCAGCAGUGGGGAAUAUUGCGCAAUGGGCGAAAGCCUGACGCAGCGACGCCGCGUGAGGGAUGAAGGUCUUCGGAUCGUAAACCUCUGUCAGCAGGGAAGAACGGUCACUGUGCUAAUCAGCAGUGAAUUGACGGUACCUGCAAAGGAAGCACCGGCUAACUCCGUGCCAGCAGCCGCGGUAAUACGGAGGGUGCGGGCGUUAAUCGGAAUUACUGGGCGUAAAGCGCUCGUAGGCGGUAUGUCAAGUCAAGGGUGAAAUCCCCGCGCUCAACGGGGGAACUGCCUUUGAACGUGGCAAACUGGAGUGUGUGAGAGGAUAGUGAAAUUCAAGGUGUGGGAGUGAAUCCAGAAAAUAUCUGGGGGAACAGGAGGGGCGAAGGCGACUAUCUGGCACAUAACUGACGCUGGGGAGCGAAAGCGUGGGUAGCAAACAGGAUUAGAUACCCG